GAGAGAGAACGAUGGUGAGAUUGAGGGAGAGGAGCUGCUGACCGUGGAGAAGAAGAAGAAGAAGAAAGUGAGGAACGAAAAUGGGAUUUCCGACCAUGGAUUGUUGUUAGGCAUGUAAUGUGAUUUUGGAGGCUUAGGACUGGAUCUAAUCUUCCAAUGUGUGGUAUGGGUAAUCGGAUCGAUGGAGCACUUCGAAAGGAUUACUUGAGUCGUGAGUCAUUUGCAGGCUACAAGACGAUGUUGUGGAUGUAGGUACAGAGACGGUAGAUAAGGAUCCUGUUGUCAUGUAUUUGGGCCACGAUGUUUGAGGCCUAGAUGCGUCGGGGGUUGAUUUUGUUGGACUAGUUAUUAGUCCUCUUUGUUAGAGCAUUUAUGUAUAUGCUUAGAUUUUAGUAUUUUGUCUAUGGCUCGUGUCGCAUGUGAC